rnacentral:lncRNA from 1 species
CCUCUGUGUGUUGGCCUACUCCUCACAUGACAAAAACUAGCCCCUACUUCAAUUAUAUAUCAAAUCUCCUGAUUAGUAAACAUAAAUAUUCUCCUUACCCUUUCAAUUUUAUCUAUCAUGGCAGGCAGCUGAGGUGCACUUAAUGAAACACAACUACGUAAAAUCCUAGCAUACUCCUCAAUCACUCAUACAGGCUGAAUAAUGGCAGUGCUAAUAUACAACCCAAAUAUUACCAUUUUUAACCUGGCCAUAUAUAUUACUCUAACAACUACCGCAUUCCUAGUACUCAACCUAAACUCAAGCACUACAGCGCUAUUACUAUCUCGCAUCUGAAACAAAUUAACCUGACUAACACCCAUGAUCCCAUCUAUUCUACUAUCACUAGGAGGCCCUCCCCCAUUAACUGGCUUUCUACCCAAAUGAAUUAUCAUGAAGAGUUUACAAAAAAUAAUAACCUUACCAUUCCUACUGCUAUAGCUAUUAUAACCUCCUUAACCUAUACUUUUACAUACGCCUAAUCUACUCUGCUUCAAUUACACUAUUCCCCAUGUACAACAAUGUAAAAAUAAAGUGACAAUUUGAAAACACAAAACCCAUACUACUCCUCCCCCCACUAACCAUCCUCGCCACCUUCCUCCUACCAAUCUCCCCACUUUAUCUA